rnacentral:misc_RNA from 1 species
GAUGAAGAACGCAGCGAAAUGCGAUAAGUAAUGUGAAUUGCAGAAUUCAGUGAAUCAUCGAAUCUUUGAACGCACAUUGCGCCCGCUAGUAUUCUGGCGGGCAUGCCUGUCCGAGCGUCAUUUCAACCCUCAAGCCCCCGGGCUUGGUGUUGGGGAUCGGCGAGCCUCCGCGCCCGCCGUCCCCUAAAUCUAGUGGCGGUCUCGCUGUAGCUUCCUCUGCGUAGUAGCACACCUCGCACUGGGAUACAGCGCGGCCACGCCGUUAAACCCCCAACUUCUGAACGUUUGACCUCGGAUCAGGUAGGAAUACCCGCUGAACUUAAGCAUAUCAAUAAGCGGAGGA